rnacentral:rRNA from 1 species
CCUACGGGAGGCAGCAGUGGGGAAUAUUGCACAAUGGUCGGAAGCCUGAUGCAGCGACGCCGCGUGAGGGAUGAAGGCCUUCGGGUUGUAAACCUCUUUCAGCAGGGACGAAGCGUGAGUGACGGUACCUGCAGAAGAAGCACCGGCUAACUACGUGCCAGCAGCCGCGGUAAUACGUAGGGUGCGAGCGUUGUCCGGAAUUACUGGGCGUAAAGAGUUCGUAGGCGGUUUGUCGCGUCGUUUGUGAAAACCCGGGGCUCAACUUCGGGCUUGCAGGCGAUACGGGCAGACUUGAGUGUUUCAGGGGAGACUGGAAUUCCUGGUGUAGCGGUGAAAUGCGCAGAUAUCAGGAGGAACACCGGUGGCGAAGGCGGGUCUCUGGGAAACAACUGACGCUGAGGAACGAAAGCGUGGGUAGCAAACAGGAUUAGAUACCCUGGUAGUCCACGCCGUAAGCGGUGGGCGCUAGGUGUGGGUUCCUUCCACGGGAUCUGUGCCGUAGCUAACGCAUUAGCGCCCGCCUGGGGNGGUACGGCCGCGAGCGAAACGUACAANAGAGUGUAACGGUCGUGAGAGUGCCGACGGCGACGACGAGGGGAGGAGGG